GGAAGGAGAAGUCGUAACAAGGUUUUCGUAGGUGAACCUGCGAAAGGAUCAUUA
rnacentral:rRNA from 2 species